rnacentral:rRNA from 1 species
GACGAACGCCGGCGGCGUGCUUAACACAUGCAAGUCGAACGAAGAGCGAUGGAAGCUUGCUUCUAUCAAUCUUAGUGGCGAACGGGUGAGUAACGCGUAAUCAACCUGCCCUUCAGAGGGGGACAACAGUUGGAACGGCUUCUAAAACCGCAUACCGUCUAAUCCCGGGAUCGGGGGUAGAUGAAAGGGUGCCUCUUCAUGGAAGGCUAUAACUGAGGGGGGGAUUGCGUCUGAUUAGCUAGUUGGAGGGGUAACGGCCCACCAAGGCGAUGAUCAGUAGCCGGUCUGAGAGGAUGAACGGCCACAUUGGGACUGAGACACGGCCCAGACUCCUACGGGAGGCAGCAGUGGGGAAUCUUCCGCAAUGGACGAAAGUCUGACGGAGCAACGCCGCGUGAGUGAUGACGGCCUUCGGGUUGUAAAGCUCGGUUAAUCGGGACGAAAGGCCUUCUUGCGAAUAGUGAGAAGGAUUGACGGUACCGGAAUAGAAAGCCACGGCUAACUACGUG